AGGAGCAGGGCCGAAGGAUACUGUCAUCAGAGCCUGCCCUACCUGAAGGAUGCUCAGGCCCCCUUGCGCGAGGCAGCCGUGAGGUUCAUCGGGCUUGCCGCGCGGCCCCUGAGGGACCAAAGCAAGGAGAAGCUGGCCGAGAUGUGCAGCGCCCUUCAGUCCCUGCAGGAAGACAGCGACCUCUCCAUCCGUUCCCUGGCAGCUCAGACCGUCCUCAGCCUGAGCUCUCCCAGGGUGCAGGAAAGAGUGUGACGCACCCAGCGAGCGCUGUGCUGCUGGUGCUGCUAAAAGCCAGGCAGAAGA